AUGUUGCCAGCUUUGCUGUAACCUACCCUAACUCCAGUCGGAUAAAAAUGUCUAAUGUUACUAAAUCAAAAAGACCUCGUUAUAAUUCCGAAAUUCGUCGUGACAAAGUCCGAAAUAAAACCAGAAUUUGUAUUGGACAUGCUUUUGAAAGAUGGAGGCGGCUGAAAACGUAGAAGAAUUUGAACACAGAUGCCAACGUUGCUAAUUUUCUCCUGGACAGCUAUUAUGGCCCCAGCACCUCAACACCCAGUAAGAGAGACUUGAAGAAGCACCACCUGACUGCACCAUCACUUUCCAGUAUUGUAUGUGCAUCAUCUGAAACACUUUCAAAUCGAGAGGACCUGUCGCCUAUUGAGGAAAGACUGGAAGAUGAUGAGCGCACCAUGGAUGCCUCUGAGGUUCUGGAGGAAACGUAGAUAAAGCCUCUCAAGCUUCCUAAUAUGCCAAAUGAUAAUAAAUGUU